GACGAACGCUGGCGGCGUGCCUAAUACAUGCAAGUCGAGCGGACAGAUGGGAGCUUGCUCCCUGAUGUUAGCGGCGGACGGGUGAGUAACACGUGGGUAACCUGCCUGUAAGACUGGGAUAACUCCGGGAAACCGGGGCUAAUACCGGAUGGUUGUUUGAACCGCAUGGUUCAGACAUAAAAGGUGGCUUCGGCUACCACUUACAGAUGGACCCGCGGCGCAUUAGCUAGUUGGUGAGGUAACGGCUCACCAAGGCGACGAUGCGUAGCCGACCUGAGAGGGUGAUCGGCCACACUGGGACUGAGACACGGCCCAGACUCCUACGGGAGGCAGCAGUAGGGAAUCUUCCGCAAUGGACGAAAGUCUGACGGAGCAACGCCGCGUGAGUGAUGAAGGUUUUCGGAUCGUAAAGCUCUGUUGUUAGGGAAGAACAAGUGCCGUUCAAAUAGGGCGGCACCUUGACGGUACCUAACCAGAAAGCCACGGCUAACUACGUGCCAGCAGCCGCGGUAAUACGUAGGUGGCAAGCGUUGUCCGGAAUUAUUGGGCGUAAAGGGCUCGCAGGCGGUUUCUUAAGUCUGAUGUGAAAGCCCCCGGCUCAACCGGGGAGGGUCAUUGGAAACUGGGGAACUUGAGUGCAGAAGAGGAGAGUGGAAUUCCACGUGUAGCGGUGAAAUGCGUAGAGAUGUGGAGGAACACCAGUGGCGAAGGCGACUCUCUGGUCUGUAACUGACGCUGAGGAGCGAAAGCGUGGGGAGCGAACAGGAUUAGAUACCCUGGUAGUCCACGCCGUAAACGAUGAGUGCUAAGUGUUAGGGGGUUUCCGCCCCUUAGUGCUGCAGCUAACGCAUUAAGCACUCCGCCUGGGGAGUACGGUCGCAAGACUGAAACUCAAAGGAAUUGACGGGGGCCCGCACAAGCGGUGGAGCAUGUGGUUUAAUUCGAAGCUACGCGAAGAACCUUACCAGGUCUUGACAUCCUCUGACAAUCCUAGAGAUAGGACGUCCCCUUCGGGGGCAGAGUGACAGGUGGUGCAUGGUUGUCGUCAGCUCGUGUCGUGAGAUGUUGGGUUAAGUCCCGCAACGAGCGCAACCCUUGAUCUUAGUUGCCAGCAUUCAGUUGGGCACUCUAAGGUGACUGCCGGUGACAAACCGGAGGAAGGUGGGGAUGACGUCAAAUCAUCAUGCCCCUUAUGACCUGGGCUACACACGUGCUACAAUGGACAGAACAAAGGGCAGCGAAACCGCGAGGUUAAGCCAAUCCCACAAAUCUGUUCUCAGUUCGGAUCGCAGUCUGCAACUCGACUGCGUGAAGCUGGAAUCGCUAGUAAUCGCGGAUCAGCAUGCCGCGGUGAAUACGUUCCCGGGCCUUGUACACACCGCCCGUCACACCACGAGAGUUUGUAACACCCGAAGUCGGUGAGGUAACCUUUUAGGAGCCAGCCGCCGAAGGUGGGACAGAUGAUUGGGGUG
rnacentral:rRNA from 1 species